AGAGUUUGAUCGUGGCUCAGAAUCAACGCUGGCGGCGUGCCUAACACAUGCAAGUCGAACGCGAAAGCCCCGCAAGGGGUAAGUAGAGUGGCAAACGGGUGAGUAACACGUGGGUGACCUGCCUCAGAGUGGGGGAUAACGACCCGAAAGGGUCGCUAAUACCGCAUAACAUCCUGCUUUUGGAUAAGUGGAGAUCAAAGCCGGGGAUCGCAAGACCUGGCGCUUAGAGAGGGGCCCGCGGCCGAUUAGCUAGUUGGUGAGGUAACGGCUCACCAAGGCAACGAUCGGUAUCCGGCCUGAGAGGGCGGACGGACACACUGGGACUGAGACACGGCCCAGACUCCUACGGGAGGCAGCAGUGGGGAAUUGUUCGCAAUGGGCGCAAGCCUGACGACGCAACGCCGCGUGGAGGACGAAGAUCUUCGGGUCGUAAACUCCUUUCGAUCGGGAAGAACGUUUUCGGGGUGAAUAAUCCCGAGAAGUGACGGUACCGAGAGAAGAAGCCCCGGCUAACUCCGUGCCAGCCGCCGCGGUAAG
rnacentral:rRNA from 1 species